AGAGUUUGAUCAUGGCUCAGGAUGAACGCUGGCGGCGUGCCUAAUACAUGCAAGUCGAGCGAGAAGCCAAUUUGAAGCGUUUUCGGACAAUUCUGUUUGGUGGAAAGCGGCGGACGGGUGAGUAACGCGUAGGCAACCUGCCCUUAGCAGAGGGAUAGCCAUUGGAAACGAUGAUUAAAACCUCAUAAUGCCGGUUUUACACAUGUUGGACCGGCCAAAGAUUUAUCGGCUAAGGAUGGGCCUGCGUCUGAUUAACUAGUUGGUGAGGUAACGGCUCACCAAGGUGACGAUCAGUAGCCGACCUGAGAGGGUGAUCGGCCACAUUGGAACUGAGACACGGUCCAAACUUCUACGGAAGGCAGCAGUAAGGAAUCUUGCACAAUGGGGGAAACCCUGAUGCAGCAACGCCGCGUGAACGAUGAAGGCCUUCGGGUUGUAAACCUCUGUCUUUGGGGACGAUAAUGACGGUACCCAAGGAGGAAGCUCCGGCUAACUACGUGCCAGCAGCCGCGGUAAUACGUAGGGAGCGAGCGUUGUCCGGAAUUACUGGGUGUAAAGGGAGCGUAGGCGGGACUGCAAGUCAGGUGUGAAAUGUAGGGGCUCAACCCCUGCCCUGCACUUGAAACUGUGGUUCUUGAGUGAAGUAGAGGUAAGCGGAAUUCCUAGUGUAGCGGUGAAAUGCGUAGAUAUUAGGAGGAACAUCAGUGGCGAAGGCGGCUUACUGGGCUUUAACUGACGCUGAGGCUCGAAAGCGUGGGGAGCAAACAGGAUUAGAUACCCUGGUAGUCCACGCCGUAAACGAUGAUUACUAGGUGUGGGGGGACUGACCCCUUCCGUGCCGCAGCAAACGCAAUAAGUAAUCCACCUGGGGAGUACGGCCGCAAGGCUGAAACUCAAAGGAAUUGACGGGGGCCCGCACAAGCAGUGGAGUAUGUGGUUUAAUUCGAAACAACGCGAAGAACCUUACCAGGUCUUGACAUCGUACGCAUAGCAUAGAGAUAUGUGAAAUCCCUUCGGGGACGUAUAGACAGGUGGUGCAUGGUUGUCGUCAGCUCGUGUCGUGAGAUGUUGGGUUAAGUCCCGCAACGAGCGCAACCCUUACUGUUAGUUGCUACGCAAGAGCACUCUAGCAGGACUGCCGUUGACAAAACGGAGGAAGGUGGGGAUGACGUCAAAUCAUCAUGCCCCUUAUGACCUGGGCUACACACGUACUACAAUGGCUGUAAACAGAGGGAAGCAAAAUGGUGACAUGGAGCAAAACCCUAAAAGCAGUCUUAGUUCGGAUUGUAGGCUGCAACCCGCCUACAUGAAGUCGGAAUUGCUAGUAAUCGCAGAUCAGCAUGCUGCGGUGAAUACGUUCCCGGGCCUUGUACACACCGCCCGUCACGCCAUGGGAGUCGGUAACACCCGAAGCCUGUGUUCUAACCGCAAGGAGGAAGCAGUCGAAGGUGGGAUUGAUGACUGGGGUGAAGUCGUAACAAGGUAACCGUA
rnacentral:rRNA from 1 species